rnacentral:misc_RNA from 1 species
ACGAGCGUUGCCUCCGGGCAUACCUCCCACCCUCUGUAUACCUUACUGUUGCUUUGGCAGGCCCGUCCUUGGACCGCCGGCUUCGGCUGGCCCGCGCCUGCCAGAGGACCCCCAACUCUGUUUUAACAUGUCGUCUGAGUAAAAAUUAAUUGUCA